rnacentral:tRNA from 1 species
GGUUCCAUAGUAUAGUGGUUAGCACAUCUAGUUUACACACAGAAGGUCCUGGGUUCACAUCCCAGUAGAGCCA